GAUCUUAAGAUGGACAACCAAAACUGGUUCAGGAGACAUCAGUUACAAUAUGUUGCUCUAGAGGAUGUGGGCAUGUAAUUUGAAAAGUCAGAAAGUAAUCUUUGUGUUGAUCUCUAAACAUGCAAGGCAAUAAAAAAGGUCUCAUCUUCCUACAUGCUGGUUUCAUGGCUUUUCCGUGGGGAAGAGGGAGUCUUCUUUUUUUAGUUGAUGCCUAAAUACCAUUGUCAGGGAUGUUUGUAAUCUCCAGUGGGUUAGUAUUUCAUCUAAGUCAGCUCUAGUGUGAGCCCAUAACCUUUUACUUAAGGUGAAUGUCUCAAUAGCAGUUUGUUGGGAUUGGGCAGAUUGUACUAGGCGUAGCGUACUGAGCAAUAGUUUUGGGCAAGCAAGUAGUAAUCUACUCAUGGCAAAUAAAUAAUGAAAAAUGAGAUUUCAGUGUGGAUCUGUCAGCAAGCUGGUGAGCAGAAGUACAGGCUUCUCCAGAUGUUUGAUGCAAGUGAGGUGUACGGCCAAGGCAACCAGCCUGGGGAAUGGUCCAUAGCCUCCCUGAGCUGUCCCAUCCUUGGGAUGCAGCGCCAGCAUGCAGCUCAUGGGCAAAAGGAGGCAGAGGUUUCAAUCGAGACACUUGUGGGAAUCUAAAAUCAGUUUUAAAGUUGAUUGAUGGUUAAAAUGGGGUUUUAACUGGCCUGUGGUGUCAAUCUUAUGAUCAAACCAAACCCUUCCAAAAAUUAGUGAAGAUUUAAAUUAACUCAGCUGAAGGCAGAGCUGGUUUAACAGUAUCUGAGCCAGACCUUGAAAAUGUAUUGUACAAUAGCCAAUAAUAUCCACUGAAUUACAUUAGUCUCCAGGACACAUAUGUGGUUAAAGAAGAAAAAUAGGUUCCAUCUUAUUUUAUGAAAACAAGUCGCUGAAUAAAUCUCCACGGAGAAAAAAUUAACAUAACAAACAGCAGCUGAAGUCCUUUCACGAUUGGAUUUGGUCUUAGUCAUGAUUCAGAUCCUUUUUUUUCUUUUAUCAUACCCUACGAAUAAAUCUCUCAUCCGUUCUGGAACAGCCACAGUUUUCAUAACCCAGGUCCUAUUUAUAACCCGGAGCGCUGACCCAGUGGCUAGUGAAGAGCUGGCUGGCUGUGCCCGACAGCUCUGAACUCCUGAGCGGCUGCUGACGCUGGCAGGCUGGUGUUCUACUUGAAAGCAGUUUUGUCUCAUUUAGAGUACACGGAGCUGUUGCAAGUGCCUAUCACAGUGUGCCCUGGCUUUCUGUUGUUCGUAGUUCAAUAGUUGUUAUGUUUGUUUAAAAAAACAAAACCUGUCUGAGGGUAGAUCUCCCUCUUCCCCUCCCUCCCAGUAUUUCCUGCAAGCUGUUUGUGUGCUUGUUUGGUCCUGUAUCCGACAGUGUUCAUAUUUUGGUCUGAUUCUCUCUUCACUUAGCUGUUAAUCCCUCCAAUAGAAUUUUUUCAUUUAAGAAAGAAGUUGAUUCAGAAACUAAAUAUUUUUUAAAUGGGGUGUGCUUUCCCCCUUUCUUUUCUACUUUCCGCUGGCAUCACCAUGGUUUUAUCUAUUCUAAAAUAUUCUCUUCAGUUUCACUGCUUUGGAAACACAAAACCACAAUUUGACAGCUGCGACAGAAAAGCCUUAGGUGAAAAACAUGUUCAGGAGAUCUGAGGGGUGAGUGCUGCUCCAGCUGGGAUUUUUAGCAGCAGCUUUGGGUUUGAUUACCCAAGUUCUGCCCCUCCAAGAGGGCUGCCCUAUGGGUGGGUGCGCAGCACUGACAUGGCUUUUGUGUGGACUUAAGUGGUUACUUAAAAGUCACAUGCUUUUUAAAAACCUUGAUCCCAAACUACUACAAACCAUCCAUUUGGUGUGUUACAUCUAUUUUGGGGUGCUGUGAAUGGGCUGUAGGUCUGUGUUUAAAAUGAACAGCUGAUGUGCUGGAUAUGAUCACAUCCUGCGCAGUGAGCACGAAGCCAUCACCAGGUCAGAGGAGGACCGCAAAUGUUAAGGAAUAGCCUUUUCUUUGGUCUGCUGGGUGUGUUGUUUUGACUGAGCCAGAAAAAUCUCUCUUUCCACUGCAGCCACACAGGAGGAUGUUCAAGGUCGAUCUUCCUUAUCUCAGUAAGCUGGCAGCCACCACCUGCAGUGCAGGGGCAGCCGGGGAUCCAGGUUGAUUUUACCCUGACCUCUUCCCUGGGUUUCUCAGCUGGAGGACAAGAGGGGCUGGUCUGCUCCCAGGCUCUGCCUCCCUCCCAAGUUCAUUUCUGCUCUGGCCACAGCUGGUCCCAGGAGACAAACAGGCAAAAACUGCAGCCACCGCAAAAUGUGAAGUACAGAUGGGACUGUGGGACUGUGAGGGCCGCCCGGGGAGCUGCCGUGUUAGGGGGAUGUGCAUUCGUUAUGGUGGAGCACCUACUGGGGAAGGUCCUGCUCCCCACUUUGGUCCCCAGCCCCCUCAAAGCCUCUGGCCUGGAGGAGCAGCAAUCGCCAUCUCUGAGCAGCCAGUGGCUCCCUGUCACCCCAGCAGUGCCUAUGGCUCCUUACCCAGCACAAUACCCACAAGUUGAGGGUUCUUUCCCCCACAGAUGGCCCUAAGCACCUUAACCUGGAGCCCAGGCUGGAUUUGGCUCAUCUGAACAUGGUGGUGACUCCUGGGCAGUACGAGGUCCCCCCACACCUGACUUGGUCCAUGCUUUAUCCUCUUCGUAAACCAUGUCCAUUAUGAUCACAGAAACGUGCAAACUGCCUGAACCAUGCGCUGUGUAAGACAAGUGAAAUAAAUAAUCCACAAGCAGAACUGCUUUUAGAAUUAAGUUGACCCCAGGUGUUUUAGGGUUUCACUGUAGUCUGCUGCACUUUUCAGGUACAAAAAGGGACUGUCCUUACUAUUACUCUUGUUACAGAGAGUGUUAUUUUCUUACAUGCAUGCACAAUACAAUGUGUACGAAUAAUUUAACAUCGAUGUGGGGUUGGAUUUUUUUUUUUUUUAACCUAUUUGUAUGCAGUAGAAGGCUUGUUGUAGAAAAGUAUCUCCUCAUACCUAAAUAUACUGUUAAUAAAGAAAAAAAGCUAAAUUAUACAUUGCCAACACAAGUGUGAACUGCUCAUGAAUCUUUCCUUAAAAAAGCCAUUCAAGCCUGAUUAUUUUUCUAAGUAACUUCAAUUAAAUUGAAGAAAGAAA
rnacentral:lncRNA from 1 species